rnacentral:rRNA from 1 species
UACGAAGGGGGCUAGCGUUGCUCGGAAUGACUGGGCGUAAAGGGCGCGUAGGCGGUCUGUUACGUCUGCUGUGAAAACCCGGGGCUUAACCCUGGGCUUGCAGUGGAUACGGGCAGACUAGAGGCAGGUAGGGGAGAAUGGAAUUCCCGGUGUAGCGGUGAAAUGCGCAGAUAUCGGGAGGAACACCGGUGGCGAAGGCGGUUCUCUGGGCCUGACCUGACGCUGAGGAGCGAAAGCGUGGGGAGCGAACAGG